UAGUCCACGCUGUAAACGAUGUCUACUAGCUGUUGGGUUCCUUGAGGACUUAGUGGCGCAGCUAACGCGAUAAGUAGACCGCCUGGGGAGUACGGCCGCAAGGUUAAAACUCAAAUGAAUUGACGGGGGCCCGCACAAGCGGUGGAGCAUGUGGUUUAAUUCGACGCAACGCGAAGAACCUUACCAGGUCUUGACUUCUUUAGAAGGUUGUAGAGAUACGACUGUGCCUUCGGGAACUAAAAGACAGGUGCUGCAUGGCUGUCGUCAGCUCGUGUCGUGAGACGUUGGGUUAAGUCCCGUAACGAGCGCAACCCUUAUCGCUAGUUGCCAGCAAGUAAUGUUGGGGACUCUAGUGAGACUGCCGGUGAUAAGCCAGAGGAAGGCGGGGACGACGUCAAGUCAUCAUGGCCCUUACGAGUAGGGCUACACACGUGCUACAAUGGGUAAUACAGAGGGUCGCAAUAUGGCAACAUGGAGCUAAUCUCACAAAGUUACUCAUAGUCCGGAUU
rnacentral:rRNA from 1 species